rnacentral:tRNA from 1 species
CAUUAAGUGGCUGAAAAGAAAGCAUUGGUCUCUUAAACCAAUAAUAGUACAAUAUCAUUUACUCUUAAUGA